CUCCCCCAACCUGUCUAUGCCCAAUUGGCCCACGUGAAUAGCAAAUGGAGAUAGGGCCUUUAUGUUAUUGCGGGGGCGUGGCUAAGAAUUGAUUCAGCAAUGUCAUUGGUUUCUGUCUCACAGCGUUGAGAGUUGCGGGGGUCUUUAAAGUUUUUCCUAGUUAGUUUGUUUUGCUCCCGCCCGGUAGAACUUUUUUUGCUUUUGAGGAGAUACUGCUGCGUUGUUGUAAAACAUGUCGCAUAAACGGUCCUUGGGCUUUUAUCCAAAUCAGAGCGCACACUACAAGACAUGGACGGCAGAUUUGAACUACUGGACGAGGAAGUGAAGAACUUAAGCUCUGAUCGUGUUGAAACUUUCAGCUCCGAUUCCACACCCGCAAAACGGAUUAAAAGAGCAAAGAACACACGUGUUGCUGAGGCUGUAAGACGUUUACACAAUUCUGAAAACAACGCUAUGAAGCUGGAUCCAAAACAAAGUAUCAAUUCUCCACAUAACCUUGCAGUUACGACAUACAUGUUGGA